UACAGAGGGUGCAAGCGUUAAUCGGAUUUACUGGGCGUAAAGGGCGCGUAGGUGGUAAAGCAAGUAAGAUGUGAAAGCCCUGGGCUUAACCUGGGAAGUGCAUCUUAAACUGCUUAACUAGAGUAUGGUAGAGGGUAGUGGAAUUUCCGGUGUAGCGGUGAAAUGCGUAGAGAUCGGGAGGAACACCAGUGGCGAAGGCGAUCACCUGGGGUUGUUCUGACGCUGAGGAGCGAAAGCUAGGGGAGCAAACGGG
rnacentral:rRNA from 1 species